rnacentral:rRNA from 1 species
GGGGAAUUGUUCGCAAUGGGCGCAAGCCUGACGACGCAACGCCGCGUGGAGGAUGAAGAUCUUCGGGUCGUAAACUCCUUUCGAUCGAGACGAAUGGCCCUUGGGCUAAUCACCAGGGGAAUGACGGUACCGAGAGAAGAAGCCCCGGCUAACUCCGUGCCAGCAGCCGCGGUAAUACGGGGGGGGCAAGCGUUGUUCGGAAUUACUGGGCGUAAAGGGCUCGUAGGUGGCCAACUAAGUCAUACGUGAAAUCCCUCGGCUUAACCGGGGAACUGCGUCUGAUACUGGUUGGCUUGAGUUUGGGAGAGGGACGCGGAAUUCCAGGUGUAGCGGUGAAAUGCGUAGAUAUCUGGAGGAACACCGGUGGCGAAGGCGGCAUCCUGGACCAUUACUGACGCUGAAUAGCGAAAGCCAGGGGAGCAAAC